rnacentral:rRNA from 1 species
CCUACGGGUGGCAGCAGUGAGGAAUAUUGGUCAAUGGGCGCGAGCCUGAACCAGCCAAGUCGCGUGAGGGAAGACGGCCCUACGGGUUGUAAACCUCUUUUGCCGGGGAGCAACGGGCGCCACGUGUGGCGCCACUGAGAGUACCCGAAGAAAAAGCAUCGGCAAACUCCGUGCCAGCAGCCGCGGUAAUACGGGGGAUGCGAGCGUUAUCCGGAUUUAUUGGGUGUAAAGGGUGCGUAGGCGGAGCGUUAAGUCAGUGGUCAAAUUGAGGGGCUCAACCCCUUCCCGCCAUUGAGACUGGAGCGCUUGAGUGGAAGAGAAGUAUGCGGAAUGCGUGGUGUAGCGGUGAAAUGCAUAGAUAUCACGCAGAACCCCGAUUGCGAAGGCAGCAUGCCGGCUUCCUACUGACGCUGAAGCACGAAAGCGUGGGGAUCGAACAGGAUUAGAUACCCGUGUAGUC